UCUUUUAAGAUAUUUGUGUAAAAAUACUUAAUGUAUUUGAAACUUCUGCCUUAUCUUGCAAUUUAAUCACUGAAAAAAUCUGUGUAGAAAACUCAUUUGAAGUCAGGUGUAUACUUUCUCUUGUACAUCAUUCAGUAGUGGGUAAUCCAGGGACCCUUGUGGACUCAUUUUCCUCCUCCAGCAGUUACCUGUCAUCACAUUUGCUUUCCAGUCAGAACAGUAAGUAUAUUUGGCUGUAUACAUGACAUGCUGCGUUACACAUUAUACACCUGACAUUAGCUCUGUACUGAGACACACAGACAAUUAGAUACUCUCCAAGAAAAAUACACAGUUGAGCUGGUGGACAUAACUCUUACAGGUAGGCAGAAGACUAUUUCACUUCUGCUCUAGAACUAGGAGAAGUUAUUAAACCCCGCCUGCGGAGGGCAGGCUGACGCUCUACCAUUCCGUGCACUGGGAGAGAAGAUUGAGAACCAGACGCAGACCAACUUCCUUGGGUGCUUGGGCAACUCAUGCGGUUACUCUCUACUUUCAUACAACUCAUCCCUUCGUCCCACCAGCUGGCGUGUAUAUCCCAGCCCAGGGCUCUGAGAGUGUAAGUUAACAGCUCUAUGAGGGCUUUAGGCCAAUUAACAAACACCUUUAGUCAAACUUAAGGUUCAGGUUUCUGUGUAACUCUCCCUGGCAGAGUCUGUUACUCAGCUGCCUGGGGCGGAGCCCCUUGGUCACUUUCAGCUCAGCUGAAAGCACCAGAACUGCUGUUGGGUGUGUUCCCAGCCACUCUGCCCAAGCAAGGGCUUGUGGCAGCAGGCUCAGGGACAGACACCUUCUGCUUGAAUGCACUGGAGCCAUCAUCCCAGCCCUAGGCAGCCACCUGCCGUGCUAGUCACACACUGGAGGAAAAUGUUUUUAAAAGCCUCUGGCCCCAAUGCCAUGUGCUAGCACAGAGCUUGUGUUUGCAAAGCACCAUCACCCUCGGCAGCUUUCUUUGGGUCUGAACGCUCUCUGCCCCAGAGAAGUUAUUCUGCACAAAGGAGCAGGGAAAGCACCAUGCUCCUCGGCCAUUUCCGUCUGGCUCUCCGAGUUGUCCACGCGGUGACUGUAAACAGUGACAAAGACAGGCUGAGCACAGCACUUUGCUGACGUUUUUUGGUGACCACAAGAAAUGUUACAUGAUUACAUUCAAACACCCUUGAUUUUGUUACUCUUAAGUCUGAACACUGCAAACACAGUAGCAACAUAACACAUACUACAGUGGUACCGCAGCUAAAUCACGGAGUGAAAAUAAUGCACUCUCAGGGCGGAAAGAAAUCCCUGAAGCAAUGAUGGAAAGAAAGAGACUGUAAGUUAAUGCAAGCUGGAAGCUUCCAUUUACAAUAACCCCCGAGAGGGGAAAAUCCAACACCGGAUGUGCUAUGAGAGGCUUCCACGGGUGGAGAUGGAACCGCAGUGGAGCUGCAUGAGGCAAAGCCCCGGCAGGCCCGCCACUUGCCCUUAAACCC
rnacentral:lncRNA from 1 species